UUCUUAUGCCCACAGCUAUAAAGAAUACACUCGACGCGGACAUCACAAGGGGCAAAGGGCCCCAACCCUUCUCCAUUCUCCAAUCCAACAUCCAAAAAACCUGAUUUCAACAAUUCUUUUGUCGCUAUAAACCCUAAAUCUCCAUUCCCAAUUUCAUCCCACGUCCAUGAAUUCCUCGCAAUUCACUUCUUACGCAAUUCUCCAUGGAUUCCGCUACUCAAAUUCUCAAGAAAGAGCACAAAACCUUCGUUAGACGACGAUUACCGCCAACCCCACUACCGCCGCCGCCGCCUUCUCUUUCUUCUUCCUCUUCGCCUCCUCUCAACCCAACUCUACCGGUCAAGCCCUCAGCCCCUUGUCCGGUAAAGAAAACUCGGGAUUUGCCUAAUUUUUCGGAAUGUCAUGCUUGUGGCUUUCGUGUUGACGCCGUUGACGGUCGUUCCAGGCUUAAUUCUCUCUACAGCGAGUGGCGGAUUGUUCUUCUUUGUAAGAAGUGCUUCUCUCUUGUCGAAUCUUCUCAGGUUUGUUCUUACUGUUUUGCUGACUCGAGAGGCGACUCUUUUAAUUGCUCUGAGUGUAACCGUCGGGUUCAUCGGGAGUGUUUUUCCCUGUAUAGUAGAGUUGCUCCCUGGUCGUACUCCUCUUCGGGUUCUGAGUUUUCUGUGUGUAUUGAUUGUUGGGUUCCUAAACCAAUUGUGACAGCGAGGGCGGUUUUGAGAAGUAGGAAAAUUAGGAGGAAGAAUAUCAAUGUUUCGGAUUUGCGGAGUUCUAAGGUUUCAACUAGCGGAAACUGCAAAUCAUUCAGUUCAUUAGUGAAGGAUGCAAAUUGUUUGGCGGAUAAGAAUGUUGAUGCUGCGGUUAGAGGUAGGGAACAUGCGCUGAAAAAGGCUGCUGUGGUUAGGAGGGCUUCUGAGUUGGCUAGCGAUGCCUUAAAUUUGGUUGCCCAAAGGGAUGAAACUGCUGCCAAAGAGUCUGGGGAAUCUGCUGACGAUGCCGAGUUGGCAAUUCAGUUGCACCGGGCUAUGAAUAGUUCUCCAAGGUUAUCCAAGAAUUUUUGUUCGGCAAAUUCGAACUACAUGGCUUUUGAGAAUACAAGGGUGGUGGAUGAUGGGGACACAUCAAUAGGAGAACUGUGUAGUGAGGAGUUUGAUUUCUUUAAAACCCCACAAGUUUUGAUUAAUAACAGUUUAUGCAAUUCUCCUGACAAUGCUGCUUCUGAGCCUUCAGUCACGGCUAAAGAUCAUGUCGCACCGUUAGAAAUUAAUCGUUUAGAAUCCAUGGGAAACAAUCCUAUACCGGCGAAGGGCAAUGGUUGCUCGGUAAAGUGUGAUACUGAGUCUGAGAAUGUGGAAUUGUCUCCUAAAGAAGAUCUGAGGAGCAGGUCAAUUGAAUUAAUGAGUGCCGGUUGCAACCAUGAUAGAUUAUGCUCUGAAGAUAAGUACACUCUACCCAGGGAUGAGAGAUGCAUUGCAAAGCCUUAUCACUAUUUCUUCAAGUAUAAGAGGAGAGAUACAACGAAACGCUAUCUGUUGAAGUAUAGCAAGAGAAAAUCAAGACUGAAGAGAAUGCCUGAUUGCAAACCUAAAAUUCUUGUUGAUGGAAUGUGCUUGGGUGUUCCAUCUUCCUCUGCAGCAAUUCUAAUUAGUACGGAGAAAUUUCCAGUUAUUUCAAAUGCCUCAUUUGGCUGCUGUGCUGUUCCUUUGCAAGCUUCUAGCCUGGGAGUGCAUGCAGUUCAAGAAAUCAGUGACCAAGGAGGCAGGUCAGCCUUUGGCCUAUGAGCCCUUUUGAUAACACUAAAGUAGGGACAAGAUCAGAUACUCCUUUAAGGCCUUGAAGAGGUUGCCUUGCAGUUUAUCCCAAAUGUAGUUGGUACUUCCUCUUAAGUAUCUUAAACAACACCAAACACUCGUUGGACAACUUUGAGUUGAACUAACACACCAGUUAAUGAUGAAUUCAUCCUAGAGAUACUAAGUGGAAGGAAAAAGCUCAUUUCUUGGAUUUUCUUUGAAUUCUCUUUCACUCAGGUUGCCAAAAGGCUUAAAGAACAAAGAUCUGAAAGGUUUGAACAAGUUAAUUGGUAAAUGAAGAAACAGUCGCCACAAGAACAUUUCUGGAAGGGAAAGGGACAAAAUAUUGUUGAACAUUGUGAAUAUGAAGGCUAGGAGGGGCUUGCCUUUCCCAUUUGCAACUCUUUGACAAGGAACUCAAUUGAAGAGUUUAUAAACAUGGGUGGUAUUGUUGUUGGUGCAAGUAAAAUAUUGUGAUAGUUUAUUUGGUCACGAAGGUUGAGUUUAUUUGGUCUUGGUUGGUAUCAACUGUGUUGAAAAUAAAUGCAAUUCCCAAAUUCUUUCAAAUCGCAAGUUCGAUCAAAACAGAACUCUUGAGUUGUGUUCGUGUAAAUAUUUUCUAUGACAUGUUUUUGCUUCGACAUAUUUAGUGUAAGAAUAAAACUCCAUUAAGCAAA